rnacentral:rRNA from 1 species
AGCGAACGCUGGCGGCAGGCUUAACACAUGCAAGUCGAGCGGGCAUCCUUGUGGUGUCAGCGGCAGACGGGUGAGUAACGCGUGGGAACGUGCCCUUCGGUUCGGAAUAACUCAGGGAAACUUGAGCUAAUACCGGAUACGUGCGAGAGCAGAAAGGUUUAUCUGCCGAAGGAUCGGCCCGCGUCUGAUUAGCUAGUUGGUGAGGUUACGGCUCACCAAGGCGACGAUCAGUAGCUGGUCUGAGAGGAUGAUCAGCCACACUGGGACUGAGACACGGCCCAGACUCCUACGGGAGGCAGCAGUGGGGAAUAUUGGAGAAUGGGGGCAACCCUGAUCCAGCCAUGCCGCGUGAGUGAUGACGGCCUUAGGGUUGUAAAGCUCUUUUCUCCGGGACGAUAAUGACGGUACCGGAGGAAUAAGCCCCGGCUAACUUCGUG